rnacentral:rRNA from 1 species
CCUACGGGGGGCUGCAGUAGGGAAUAUUGCUCAAUGGGGGAAACCCUGAAGCAGCAACGCCGCGUGGAGGAUGAAGGUUUUCGGAUUGUAAACUCCUUUUGUUAGAGAAGAGAAUGACGGUAUCUAACGAAUAAGCACCGGCUAACUCCGUGCCAGCAGCCGCGGUAAUACGGAGGGUGCAAGCGUUACUCGGAAUCACUGGGCGUAAGGAGCGCGUAGGCGGGAUAGCAAGUCAGAUGUGAAAUCCUCUGGCUUAACCAUAGAACUGCAUUUGAAACUGUUAUUCUAGAGUAUGGGAGAGGUAGGUGGAAUUCUUGGUGUAGGGGUCAAAUCCGUAGAGAUCAAGAGGAAUACUCAUUGCGAAGGCGACCUGCUAGAACAUAACUGACGCUGAUGCGCGAAAGCGUGGGGAGCAAACAGGAUUAGAUACCCGAGUAGUC